rnacentral:rRNA from 1 species
CCUACGGGAGGCUGCAGUGAGGAAUAUUGGUCAAUGGACGAGAGUCUGAACCAGCCAAGUAGCGUGAAGGAUGACUGCCCUAUGGGUUGUAAACUUCUUUUAUAUGGGAAUAAAAUGUUCCACGUGUGGGAUUUUGUAUGUACCAUAUGAAUAAGGAUCGGCUAACUCCGUGCCAGCAGCCGCGGUAAUCCGGAGGAUCCGAGCGUUAUCCGGAUUUAUUGGGUUUAAAGGGGGCGUAGGUGGAUUGUUAAGUCAGUUGUGAAAGUUUGCGGCUCAACCGUAAAAUUGCAGUUGAAACUGGCAGUCUUGAGUACAGUAGAGGUGGGCGGAAUUCGUGGUGUAGCGGUGAAAUGCUUAGAUAUCACGAAGAACUCCGAUUGCGAAGGCAGUUCACUGGACUGCAACUGACACUGAGGCUCGAAAGUGUGGGUAUCAAACAGGAUUAGAUACCCUUGUAGUC